rnacentral:rRNA from 1 species
GAUGAACGCUGGCGGCGUGCCUAAUACAUGCAAGUCGAGCGAACAGACGAGGAGCUUGCUCCUCUGACGUUAGCGGCGGACGGGUGAGUAACACGUGGAUAACCUACCUAUAAGACUGGGAUAACUUCGGGAAACCGGAGCUAAUACCGGAUAAUAUAUUGAACCGCAUGGUUCAAUAGUGAAAGACGGUUUUGCUGUCACUUAUAGAUGGAUCCGCGCCGCAUUAGCUAGUUGGUAAGGUAACGGCUUACCAAGGCAACGAUGCGUAGCCGACCUGAGAGGGGGAUCGGCCAAAAUGGAACUGAGACACGGUCCAGACCCCUACGGGAGGCAGCAGGAGGGAAUCUUCCGCAAUGGGCGAAAGCUUGACGGAGCAACGCCGCGGGAGUGAUGAAGGUUUUCGGAUCGGAAAACUCUGUUAUUAGGGAAGAACAAAUGUGUAAGUAACUAUGCACGUCUUGACGGUACCUAAUCAGAAAGCCACGGCUAACUACGUG